rnacentral:rRNA from 1 species
UACAGAGGGUGCAAGCGUUAAUCGGAAUUACUGGGCGUAAAGGGUGCGUAGGCGGUGAGAUGUGUGUGAUGUGAAAGCCCCGGGCUCAACCUGGGAAGUGCGUCGCAAACUGUCUGACUAGAGUAUAUGAGAGGGUGGUGGAAUUUCCGGUGUAGCAGUGAAAUGCGUAGAUAUCGGAAGGAACGUCGAUGGCGAAGGCAGCCACCUGGCAUAAUACUGACGCUGAGGCACGAAAGCGUGGGGAGCGAACAGG